rnacentral:rRNA from 1 species
GACGAACGCUGGCGGCGUGCUUAACACAUGCAAGUCGAACGGAAAGGCCCUGCUUUUGUGGGGUGCUCGAGUGGCGAACGGGUGAGUAACACGUGCGUAACCUGCCCUUGACUUUGGGAUAACUUCAGGAAACUGGGGCUAAUACCGGAUAGGAGCUCCUGCUGCAUGGUGGGGGUUGGAAAGUUUCGGCGGUUGGGGAUGGACUCGCGGCUUAUCAGCUUGUUGGUGGGGUAGUGGCUUACCAAGGCUUUGACGGGUAGCCGGCCUGAGAGGGUGACCGGCCACAUUGGGACUGAGAUACGGCCCAGUCUCGUACGGGAGGCAGCAGUGGGGAAUAUUGCACAAUGGGCGGAAGCCUGAUGCAGCAACGCCGCGUGCGGGAUGACGGCCUUCGGGUUGUAAACCGCUUUCGCCUGUGACGAAGCGUGAGUGACGGUAAUGGGUAAAGAAGCACCGGCUAACUACGUG